UACGGAGGGAGCUAGCGUUGUUCGGAAUUACUGGGCGUAAAGCGUCCGCAGGUGGCUGUGUAAGUCUGCUGUCAAAGAGCAAAGCUCAACUUUGUAAAGGCAGUGGAAACUACACGGCUAGAGUGCGUUCGGGGCAGAGGGAAUUCCUGGUGUAGCGGUGAAAUGCGUAGAGAUCAGGAAGAACACCGGUGGCGAAGGCGCUCUGCUAGGCCGCAACUGACACUGAGGGACGAAAGCUAGGGGAGCGAAUGGG
rnacentral:rRNA from 1 species